AACGAACGCUGGCGGCAGGCCUAACACAUGCAAGUCGAACGGACCGCACGGGGUCAGCGGCGGAGGGGAGUGUAACGCGUGGGAAUAUGCCCUUCUCCACGAAAUAGUAUGGAGACACGUGCUGAUACCGUGUAUGCGCUCUUUGGGGGAAAGAUAUAUGGGGGAAGGAUUAGCCCGCGUUGGAUUAGGUAGUUGGUGGGGUAAUGGCCUACCAAGGCGACGAUCCAUAGCUGGUUUGAGAGGAUGAUCAGCCACACUGGGACUGAGACACGGCCCAGACUCCUACGGGAGGCAGCAGUGGGGAAUCUUAGACAAUGGGGGCAACCCUGAUCUAGCCAUGCCGCGUGAGUGAUGAAGGCCUUAGGGUUGUAAAGCUCUUUCAGCUGAGAAGAUAAUGACGGUACCAGGAGAAGAAGCCCCGGCUAACUCCGUG
rnacentral:rRNA from 1 species